AGUGAACGCUGGCGGUAGGCCUAACACAUGCAAGUCGAACGGCAGCACAGUAAGAGCUUGCUCUUACGGGUGGCGAGUGGCGGACGGGUGAGGAAUACAUCGGAAUCUACUUUUUCGUGGGGGAUAACGUAGGGAAACUUACGCUAAUACCGCAUACGACCUACGGGUGAAAGCAGGGGAUCUUCGGACCUUGCGCGAUUGAAUGAGCCGAUGUCGGAUUAGCUAGUUGGCGGGGUAAAGGCCUACCAAGGCGACGAUCCGUAGCUGGUCUGAGAGGAUGAUCAGCCAGACUGGAACUGAGACACAGUCCAGACUCCUACAGUAGGCAGCGGUGCGGAAUAUUGGACAAUGGACGAAAGCCUGAUCCAGCCAUACCGCGUGGAUGAAGAAGGCCUUCGGGUUGUAAAGCCCUUUUGUUGGGAAAGAAAAGCAGCAGGUUAAUACCCCGCUGUUCUGACGGUACCCAAAGAAUAAGCACCGGCUAACUUCGUG
rnacentral:rRNA from 1 species